rnacentral:misc_RNA from 1 species
GCCUUCCUCCUCCUGAUUCCUUCUCCCGUAUUCUUAGUCCUCUUCAUCUGUAGAUGAUGAUCAACCUCAUUUUGCACAUGCUUUUGCUUCUUCUCCUUCUUCUUCUUCUUGCCUUCACUUAAUCUACUAACAAAUUAUCAGUUUCCUUUUCCAAUCCAUAAUCUCAAAAGUUUACAAGCGCCAAAAAAUAAUAAUAAAAAAAUACAGUAAUUAGUAGAUCAGAAAGUAAACUUCCAGAUCUUGAUUCUCAGAUCAACCUCGCAUUUGGACGACGUAGUUACGGCCACCGUCGGAGACUUGCCUUUCGGUACAGUCCCCUUAAUUCCUUCACAUGUAACCCUAAUCCCUACCUUCUUUGUCUUUAGUCCACCCAUCUGCACUUUCGCUUUAGUGUCCAACUGAAUCUUCAAUGUCACGCCACCGCUCUUCUUUUUCAGAUCCGAUCUCAAUGCGUUCACCGAAUCGGUGUCCAGAUCAUUCGACCCUGAAAUCACUACGUUUCGAAAACUAGUCUCGUUCUUCUUGCUCAAGCUGUAGGCAGGUAAUGUCCCAUUCCCGAGAAACACAUCAUUCGAGAAUGAAGAUAUAGUGAAGGAGUCAUAGAAAAAGGUGAAGUGGGAGUUGGGGUUUUUCGAGAUGAUGGUGAGAUUGAGAAGGGUGGAGAGGUGGGAGGUGGCGGAGUCAGCGGAGGUAGUGAGGUUCAGGCGGUGGAUACGAAGAGAAGGGAUGGAGAAGGCAGGUCGGUGGGGGUGGUACAUGAUGUAAAAAGCAGCUCCAGCAAUUGCAGCGAGGAGGAUGAGCAAUAGAAGAACAAGGAGGCUCCAGAAGCAGCAACAGCAGCAAAUGCUCCCGCCACUACGGGUACGGCGGCGGCGGUUGUGAGGCUGUGGGCGGUAAGGGAAGCGGGAUGUGGGGUUAUAGAGAUGAGAUUUGUUAGCAGGAGCAGUUGGAUUGAUGGCGGCGGCGGCAGUGGUAUUAGCGGCAGUGCCGUUGGCAGCUGGUUUUGAGGAAGGGAAGACUUUAUCAGACAUUAUGGGCAAGAAACUAGGAAAGAAGAGGCAAGACAAUAAAUCAAGAAUUGAAAUGCGAAGUGAGUGUUGAGACUGAGGUACGAAAUGUAAAGGGGAGGGAAAGACAGAGUGAAGGAGAGGAAAGUUACAGUCCACCGACGAGGAGGAGGAGAUGCUUACAGCAGAUCAAAGUUUCGGAGGAAUUGAAGUUGGAAUAGGUGGUCGUGGGUAGCUGUAAAUUUCAAACUUUGAGGCCAAGUUUCCAUCUUUUCUCCUCCGAUCUUAAUGGGACAUCUUAACACACGUGCGAGUCUUUUAGCUUCAGCUUCGUGCUUCACAUGUGAUGUGGGGUCCACGAUUUUUGGGUAAACUAUUCCUGAUCAGAUGGUUCUUAUCAUCUUUGAUUCACAUCGACCCAAGCUUUUACCAUUAUUAAAAUUAUAUUAUAAAACCAAAUCUCAUUAAUUUCUAAAGCAUAACGUCAUCAUUUAUCGGAGGGACAAAAACCAUAGCCUUAUAAGGAGAAUUUUCAAUGGUGAAGGCAAGAAUCAAAGGUAGAAGAAGAAUAAAGAGAAAGAAGAAAGGAGAGUGAAGAUGGUGGGUAUUGGAAGGCAACUUUUAAAUGUGGUAGGUAGGGAUGUAC